rnacentral:rRNA from 1 species
UUCUGGGAGGAUUGACAGAUUGAGAGCUUUUUUUGAUUCAGUGGAUGGUGGUGCGUGGCCUUUCUUAGUUGGUGGAGCGAUUUGUCUAGUUAACUCCGGUAACGAACGAGACUAGCCUAUUAAAUAGGUGCGUGGUUCUCUGCACCUUGCACCCUUCUUGAGGGACAAGGGGCUCCUAGCCGCACGAAAUAGAGCAAUAACAGGUCUGUGAUGCCCUUAG